AAACUGAGGUGCCCUGGGGCGCCGCACCAAGAGUUGCAACAGAAUGUCUUUGUCAUGCUUAAGUGCCAAUGGAAUCUCCUUUCACGUUCAGUAACAAGGUUUCAGUAUCCGUUGUGAGGAUGAAGCGUGAUCUUGUUGCUAUUUCCCUUUCUAUGCAUAUGCAGGUCAUGGGAAUUGGUGGAAUUGUUGAAUCAGAUUCUGUUACUCUCAAGAUCUUGAUCAACUGUUUCUGGUAUAUGGGUCAUGUUAAAGUUUGCUUUUUCAGUGAGGAAGGUCUCUGUCUUAAUGGUGAAAAUAGAAAUUUGUAAAUUUUAUAAAACACGAGGUUUCAUUGAGGGUGUUGUGGUAAUGUAUAACACAAUCAUUGAUAACCUAUGCAAAGAUAAACAGGUAAUUGAUACCUGUGUUUUAUCUUUUGACAUGGUUGAGGAGGGAAUUUCCGGUAAUGUUGUCGCUCACAAUACUCAAAUCUAUGAGGGUCAAUUGGAAGACACAAUUGAUUUCUUGAGGAAAAUGCUUGAGUAACCUAAUGUUGUUACUUAUAAUUCUUUAAUAGAUGAGUAUUCUUUAAUUGAAGAAGUGGACAACACAAGGCUCUCGUGAUGUAAAUGGUGGAUGAAGCCAUGAAUCUCUUUAAGAAAAUGUUUUUAUUGAUGGUUUGUGCAAAUCAGGAGAUGCAUGGUGAAGGUCUACCAAUUCCUUCUUAGACAACUUUUAUAAAAAUUGUCAUCAUCUUAUCAAGGCAAUUGCAUUAUUCAAGAAAAGGCAAUUGCAUUAUUCAAGAAAAUCGAAGAACACAUCGAGAUGUAUUUGCUUAUUAUGAUCAAUGGACUAUGCAAAUGUGGAAGACUUAUGAAUGCAAAUUAGGUAUUGACCUUUUAAUAAGAUUACACUUUGUAAAUAGGCUUUAUUAUUUUAAGCAUUGGCUUUGUAGUAAAAAAAUGGAAGACAAUGGUUGCAUCUUUGGGAGAGGAAUAUGUGUUUAAGUUUGAUAUGAUGAUGUGCAAUACAAUCAUUGAUUUGGGAGAGGAAUAUGUGUUUAAGUUUGAUAUGAUGAUGUGUAAUACAAUCAUUGAUAGCCUAUGUAAAGAUAAAUUUAUAAUAAAGGUCUGUUAUUUAUUAUU